rnacentral:rRNA from 1 species
UCUCAAAGCUUAAGCCAUGCAUGUCUAAGUACUAACCAAUUUAAGGUGAAACCGCGAAUGGCUCAUUAAAUCAGUUACGGUUCCUUGGAUAAUACACUUUACACAGAUAACUGUGGUAAUUCUAGAGCUAAUACGUGCAACAUUUCUCUAACCCUUUGGGAAAGAGCGCCUUUAUUAGACCAAGACCAAUGGGCUUUAGCUCUCGGUAUGAUGACUCUGGAUAACUGAGUUAAUCGCAUGGCCUUAGUGCCGGCGAUGUAUCCUUUAAGUGUCUGCCUUAUCAACUGUCGAUGGUAGGUUAUGUGCCUACCAUGGUUGUAACGGGUAACGGGGAAUCAGGGUUCGAUUCCGGAGAGGGAGCCUGAGAAAUGGCUACCACAUCCAAGGAAGGCAGCAGGCACGCAAAUUACCCACUCUCAGCAGGGGGAGGUAGUGACGAAAAAUAACAAUACGGGACUCUAUUGAGGCCCCGUAAUUGGAAUGAGUACAAUAUAAAUCCUUUAACGAGGAUCAAUUGGAGGGCAAGUCUGGUGCCAGCAGCCGCGGUAAUUCCAGCUCCAAUAGCGUAUAUUAAAGUUGUUGCGGUUAAAAAGCUCGUAGUUUGAUCUCAGCUUAUGCUGAUUGGUCCACUGUUUCUGGUGUUUACUGAUCAGCUAAGCAAUGCAUCGCUUUGUCUUUUGAUGCUCUUUACCGGGUGUUAUUAGCGAACGAUACGUUUACUUUGAAAAAAUUAGAGUGCUUAAAGCAGGCUUUAAUGCUAGAAUAACUUUGCAUGGAAUAAUGGAAUAGGACCUAGGUUCUAUUUUGUUGGUCUCCUGAAUCUAAGGUAAUGAUUAAGAGGGACAGCGUCAGGGGCAUUCGUAUUGCUGCGCUAGAGGUGAAAUUCUUGGACCGUAGCAAGACGAACUACAGCGAAAGCAUUUGCCAAGAAUGUUUUCAUUAAUCAAGAACGAAAGUUAGAGGUUCGAAGGCGAUCAGAUACCGCCCUAGUUCUAACCAUAAACGAUGCCAACCAGCGAUCAGUCAUAGUUCUUAUACUUGGGCUUGACUGGAAGCUUCCGGGAAACCAAAGUUUUUCGGUUCCGGGGGAAGUAUGGUUGCAAAGCUGAAACUUAAAGGAAUUGACGGAAGGGCACCACCAGGAGUGGAGCCUGCGGCUUAAUUUGACUCAACACGGGGAAACUCACCCGGCCCGGACACUGAGCGGAUUGACAGAUUGAGAGCUCUUUCUUGAUUUAGUGGUUGGUGGUGCAUGGCCGUUCUUAGUUGGUGGAGCGAUUUGUCUGGUUAAUUCCGAUAACGAACGAGACUCUAGCCUACUAAAUAGACUUUCAAUUCUUUAUGCAUUGAAAGAACUUCUUAGAGGGACAAGCGGC